rnacentral:rRNA from 1 species
AACGGAGUUGUGUUGAAAGCUUGCUGGAAAUACAACUUAGUGGCGGACGGGUGAGUAACACGUGAGUAACCUGCCUUUCAGAGUGGAAUAACGUUUGGAAACGAACGCUAAUACCGCAUAACAUGAGAGAACGGCAUCGUUCUUUCAUCAAAGAUUUUAUCGCUGAGAGAUGGGCUCGCGGCCGAUUAGGUAGUUGGUGAGAUAACAGCCCACCAAGCCGACGAUCGGUAGCCGGACUGAGAGGUUGAACGGCCACAUUGGGACUGAGACACGGCCCAGACUCCUACGGGAGGCAGCAGUGGGGGAUAUUGCACAAUGGAGGAAACUCUGAUGCAGCGACGCCGCGUGAGGGAAGACGGUCUUCGGAUUGUAAACCUCUGUCUUUAGGGACGAAAAAAUGACGGUACCUAAGGAGGAAGCCACGGCUAACUACGUGCCAGCAGCCGCGGUAAUACGUAGGUGGCAAGCGCUGUCCGGAAUUACUGGGUGUAAAGGGAGCGUAGGCGGGGAGACAAGUUGAAUGUUUAAACUAUCGGCUCAACUGAUAGUCGCGUUCAAAACUAUCACUCUUGAGUGCAGUAGAGGUAGGCGGAAUUCCUAGUGUAGCGGUGAAAUGCGUAGAUAUUAGGAGGAACACCAGUGGCGAAGGCGGCCUACUGGGCUGUAACUGACGCUGAGGCUCGAAAGCGUGGGUAGCAAACAGG